GCGGGGGCCGCUGCUGCUGCCCGGCGCCGCCGCUGCAGGCGACCUGGGGGCAGAAAGCCCCGCUCCCCGUCGCCGGGACGGGCAGAAGUAUUUGCUUCCAGCCAUUGCUGACUGCUUUUUUACUAAAAAGGCGUCUGACGGCCUCAUCUGAGUUUGAGUGCUGUCGCGAUAGAAACUUCACGCGCUCAUCGCUGGAGGCUGCUGCCCUUGCACGCAAACCCCUCUGUCAGAAGACACGAUUUCGUUUGAAUCGGCAGUAACCAGAGCCGGACACUCUACCAGCAUCUUAAGACAAUGUUAUGUUUCGGUACAUCUUAAGUCAGUAAAGAGUCACUUGGAAGAUCAGUAAGAGCAAAACAGCUUCAGGCCAGGUGAAACUUGAAAGCAGUUACUUGAAUCAUGGUAGCACGUGGUGGAUCAGAGCCCUAUUGUACUGAUUGCUGAACAAACAAGCAAAAAAGCUCAGGGCUCAGGCAGCCUGCAUGACAAAUAGGCCAAAGGGAAAGGAUCGGAGGGGAAACGGAGCUACAGAAGGGGGCACCGGCUCGUCUCCAGUUGCAGUGAUGGGCUCUGGAUCGCCCGUCUCACUACCCCCGUUCUGAUGGCUCCACUUCUAAUUGUAAACAGUACCAGAUGCCCCAGAGAGGAAAGCUGAGAAAACCUCUGCUCUGAACGCGCCAUGCACAUCGGAACUCUGACUUUCAUUUCAACUGAUUAGCGAGGCUUUUUACAUAUUCAUGGGGCCGAGCCUGAUGUUGACAUCACUAUGUUUCAACCUGUCUUGAAGUGAGAGGACAACCCAGUUCCUAGCCCAAUUAUUCAGUGCUCUUUCUGCUAACCACUGGGGCCAGUGACGAUGGUGUAGGGUUGGGGAACGGCAAGUUUCUAGUCACUGGAACAAUACAGUUAUCGCUGAAUUUACUUUGCAUCAGUCACUGAAUAACAGUUCAGUGUAUCUGCCUGAGCUGGAUAUUUAACCUUCAUUAGGCUGUCUCUAGUCCCCACCAGUCACCCUCCAAAUUGUCUUGUGGCUGCUCCCAUCAUUGCUUGCUGUUUAAGUGCUCACAUGGUGUUCUUUUUCAUUUUUUUCACAAUAAAGGGCUCUUCCCUA